rnacentral:snRNA from 1 species
AGCUUUGUGCAGUGGCAGUAUCAUAGCCAAUGAGGUUUAUCUGAGGCGCGAUUAUUGCUAAUUGAAAAGCUAC